rnacentral:rRNA from 1 species
AACGAACGCUGGCGGCAGGCUUAACACAUGCAAGUCGAGCGAGGACUUCGGUCCUAGCGGCGGACGGGUUAGUAACGCGUGGGAACGUGCCCUUCUCUCUGGAAUAGCCCUGGGAAACUGGGAGUAAUGCCGGAUACGCCGCCGCAUAGAGAUAUGUGGUGGGAAAGAUUUAUCGGGGAAGGAUCGGCCCGCGUUGGAUUAGGUAGUUGGUGGGGUAAUGGCCUACCAAGCCGACGAUCCAUAGCUGGUUUGAGAGGAUGAUCAGCAACACUGGGACUGAGACACGGCCCAGACUCCUACGGGAGGCAG